rnacentral:piRNA from 1 species
UCGUCAAUUCAUACCUUGUUA